CCUACGGGAGGCAGCAGCGGGGAAUCUUGCGCAAUGGGCGAAAGCCUGACGCAGCAACGCCGCGUGCGGGAAGAAGGCCCUAGGGUUGUAAACCGCUUUCAGUAGGAACGAAAAUGACGGUACCUGCAGAAGAAGGUGCGGCCAACUACGUGCCAGCAGCCGCGGUGACACGUAGGCACCAAGCGUUGUCCGGAUUUAUUGGGCGUAAAGAGCUCGUAGGCGGUUCAGUAAGUCGGGUGUGAAAACUCUGGGCUUAACCCAGAGCCGCCACUCGAUACUGCUGUGACUUGGGUUCGGUAGGGGAGCAGGGAAUUCCUAGUGUAGCGGUGAAAUGCGCAGAUAUUAGGAGGAACACCGGUGGCGAAGGCGCUGCUCUGGGCCGAUACUGACGCUGAGGAGCGAAAGCGUGGGUAGCAAACAGGAUUAGAUACCCUGGUAGUCCACGCCGUAAACGUUGGGCACUAGGUGUGGGUUCCAACCAACGGAAUCCGCGCCGUCGCUAACGCAUUAAGUGCCCGCCUGGGGAGUACGGCGGCAACGCUAAAACUCAAAGGAAUUGACGG
rnacentral:rRNA from 1 species